rnacentral:lncRNA from 10 species
CCCAAAGAAAAAAACAAAUGUUACCCAAUAGGCAAACAAUGCUGAGAGUUCACUUCCUCUAACUCUGUAGUUAAGUUACUCACUCAGUAUAACAUCACCCUCCUGCCAGGGGUUGAAGUCAGGAAGUAGUUUAUUUUCGCUGAAACUGAAGGGGGAAGUUAAAGAGAAAAAUAGCUGCAACUUGGUCAAUUCAGGAAAACCAGGUACGAAAAAAGAGGAGCAAGUUAAAGGGAAAGCCAGCUCGGAUUUGCUCACCAGUAAAAGGCAAAAAUCCCAGUGUUAUUCAUCUGCAUUUGGUGUGAAAGACAAAAGCUCAACUGGGAUCUGAGGCUUUCUGUGUCAGAGGGCAAGGAGUCAAUGGGGUUAUGAGGAAGUAAGACCACUUGAGACAUCAAAGAAAAGUAGAUCAAAUCACUAGACUCCUCCAAACAGGAGUGGGUGAAGACAAAAAGUGGAGAGAAUCCAGAGGGAAGAGAGGAGUAGGGAAAAUGGUGGAAAGGGAAGGUUUUUGAGAUGGAAGGCAGAGAAUGGGAACAAAAGAAGAAAAAGCUGUUUGUUUCAAAUCAAUAUUCUCCAAGAGGAUGUCUUGUUUCCCCAGGGAUAUUCUGAGGGACUCACAGGAUCAGAGCUGCGACACUUCUAACAUAUGAAUUCUCUCAAUUCUGAUGCCCUUUGACCUCUGCCACACAAUGCCAAGACAAACCCAGACCCCAGGCCCUGGAAACAGAGGAGGGGCAGGCAGAUUGACUGGCAAGCCUAUCACCACCUUGAUAACAGAUGACAUUAAAGAGAAAGGUAAACAAAUAUCCAAGAUUGGAAAGAAGAAAGAAAAUGACGACAGAAUUUUGCAGUCUACAAGGCAAACACUGCCAUUCAUGUAGUUAUGGAGUUCCUACUAUGUGCAGACAAUGGGAAACUUUACGAAGAGCAGGUAUUCAUGGGCAACAAUUUAGGAAAUGAUACAGAAAGAAAGGAAGGCUGGAAAGACCAAAGAAAAACAGCUACAGUUUUGCCAAGAACCAGCCCCACGCUUCAUGAGAAUUGUGAUACAUUUACAUUUGGCUUUUAAUUUCUGUAUCAAUUUGGACUGUGUUUUUGUGAAAAUGAGAUAAUAUAUGUGAAAGUACCUAGCUGAAUUCUUGGGAUAUGGCAAAAACCCAAUAAAUAUAAGUUUUUACUACUGUGUUAAGCAUCUUCUUGUCGUAAGCAGAAUUUACCCAGUUGAUAAGGAAAAGAUAAAGCUUAGUUGAGCCAAUUAGCAUAAAACAUUUC